rnacentral:rRNA from 1 species
AGCAGCCGCGGUAAUUCCAGCUCCAAUAGCGUAUAUUAAAGUUGUUGCAGUUAAAAAGCUCGUAGUUGAAUUUCGGGAUCAAUAUGUUGGUCGUGCCUUGGUACGUACUAAUUUAUUGGUUUCUUCCGUCUGACGAACCAUGAUGUCAUUAAUUUGGUGUUAUGGGGAGUUAGGACUGUUACUUUGAAAAAAUUAGAGUGUUUAAAGCAGGCAUUAGCUUGAAUACAUUAGCAUGGAAUAAUGAAAUAGGACGUUCGAUCCUAUUUUGUUGGUUUCUAGGAUCAACGUAAUGAUUAAUAGGGAUAGUUGGGGGCAUUAGUAUUCAAUUGUCAGAGGUGAAAUUCUUGGAUUUAUUGAAGACUAACUACUGCGAAAGCAUUUGCCAAGGAUGUUUUCAUUAAUCAAGAACGUAAAGUUAGGGGAUCGAAGACGAUCAGAUACCGUCGUAGUCUUAACCAUAAACUAUGCCGACUAGGGAUCGGAUGAUGUUAAUUUUUAUAGACUCAUUCGGCGCCUUACG